rnacentral:rRNA from 1 species
CGCGUAGGCGGACUUUCAAGUCGGAUGUGAAAACUGGCGGCUCAACUGCCAGCCUGCAUCCGAUACUGUUGGUCUUGAGUACAUGAGAGGAAAGCGGAAUUCCAGGUGUAGCGGUGGAAUGCGUAGAUAUCUGGAAGAACACCAGUUGCGAAGGCGGCUUUCUGGCGUGAUACUGACGCUGAAGCGCGAAGGCUAGGGGAGCAAACA